rnacentral:rRNA from 1 species
GACGAACGCUGGCGGCGUGCCUAAUACAUGCAAGUAGAACGCUGAAGGAGGAGCUUGCUCUUCUGGAUGAGUUGCGAACGGGUGAGUAACGCGUAGGUAACCUGCCUGGUAGCGGGGGAUAACUAUUGGAAACGAUAGCUAAUACCGCAUAAGAGUAGAUGUUGCAUGACAUUUGCUUAAAAGGUGCAAUUGCAUCACUACCAGAUGGACCUGCGUUGUAUUAGCUAGUUGGUGGGGUAACGGCUCACCAAGGCGACGAUACAUAGCCGACCUGAGAGGGGGAUCGGCCACACUGGGACUGAGACACGGCCCAGACUCCUACGGGAGGCAGCAGUAGGGAAUCUUCGGCAAUGGGCGGAAGUCUGACCGAGCAACGCCGCGUGAGUGAAGAAGGUUUUCGGAUCGUAAAGCUCUGUUGUAAGAGAAGAACGAGUGUGAGAGUGGAAAGUUCACACUGUGACGGUAUCUUACCAGAAAGAGACGGCUAACUACGUG